rnacentral:rRNA from 1 species
GCUUGAGAAAAGAAUUUCAGUUCAGCCUAAAGUUACUUUUUACAUCUAAAACCACAAAUUCUCUUUAGAGUAAUUCAAUUAAGGAACAGCCUUAUUGAACCAGGACACAACCUUAAUUUACGGGUAAUUUUAUUAAAAUAUUUAAGUAGGCUUAAAAGCAGCCACCUUUCUUAAAGCGUUAAAGCUAAAUCUAUGUUCCCCCUAAUACCUCACCUCCACCCGAUCCCUAUGAUAGUAUCAAGCAUCUCUAUAAUAUAUAGAACUCUUUAUGUUAAAACUAGUACCAAGAAGCAGACCCUUCUCUAUAAUGCAUGUAUAAGCCAGCUUGAACUUUUCACUGGCACUUAACAGCCCAAGCUUAAGUAAAACCUUCCCCCACGAAAACUCUACUUUUCCCCCCGUUAACCUAACACCAGAGCAUUACAAGAAAGAUUAAAAGAAAAAGAAGGAACUCGGCAAAUAUUUUUCCCGCCUGUUUACCAAAAACAUCGCCUCUUGAAAAAAUCUAUAAGAGGUCCAGCCUGCCCAGUGACUCAGUUUAACGGCCGCGGUAUUCUAACCGUGCAAAGGUAGCGUAAUAACUUGUCUUCUAAAUAAGGACUAGUAUGAAAGGCAUCACGAGGAACAAUCUGUCUCCUUUUUCUAAUCAGCGAAACUAAUCUCCCCGUGAAGAAGCGGGGAUGUAUUUAUAAGACGAGAAGACCCUAUGGAGCUUUAGACAUACCAAUUUUUGUUCCUACACUCAAACUUCAGAGUUAAACCUCUAACAUAAAAUUGGAAGUCUUUGGUUGGGGCGACCGCGGAGAAAAACCCAUCCUCCGCGAUGAAAAGAAUUAUUCCUUAACUACAAGCCACAGCUUCACGUAUCAAUAAAUUGUCACUAUUGACCCAGUAUUCUGAUCAACGAACCAAGUUACCCUAGGGAUAACAGCGCAAUCCACUUUGAGAGCUCAUAUCGACAAGUGGGCUUACGACCUCGAUGUUGGAUCAGGGUAUCCUAGUGGUGCAGCCGCUACUAAGGUUCGUUUGUUCAACGAUUAAAACCCU